GCGGCCCGUCUUCAGCUCCUGAGCAACGUCGGCUCUUCGGUUCCCGCAGCGCUGACUAUUCGGACCUUUAGGGCAGAACGACAGACGUUCAACUCGCUGCACCGCGGACCUGACUGCGUUCUGAGGUAAGGAAAGGAAAAGAAAACAGGAAACAUUGAAAACAUAAAUGGGGUCUUUCCUGUGAAGAUCUACAGAAACACAAGAAAAAAUUUCCAUGUAAAAAAUGAUAAGAAACAGCAAUUGAGGAAUAACAACAAUUAAUGACAGAAUCCUGACCUCCAGGAUAACCUGAAACAACUACUGCAAACAUUCAUUAGAAACCUCUUUUAUUUUUCUCAAUUGGAAGAAAACAAGGAGAGUAUCCAAGUGGUCUAGAACACCUGGGACAACAGAGACCCCUCCUCCCAGAACUAAGAAGUCACAGCACUUAGGGCAACAAAGGAAGUGCGUCAACCCCUUCAAAACAUGCUUUAUUAUCUCAUGGAUUAAGAUCAAAUCAUGCUUCCCCAAGCCUAUAUAACACAAGCCAGGCUAGGUUGUAAAGAAUAUGAUUAAUCCUUUCACAAACAUGUGCCAUGAGGCUUACAUUCUAGUGGGAACACGACAACAAGCUACAGAAAAUGUAACAACUAAAUGUUAUGUUUACGACGGUGCUGUGACACAAACUGAGCACUCUGAUAAAACCUGUGUGCAUCUGUUGGAAGGUCACGUACUUCAGAGAGGUGAGCAGGCAAGGCCUGUCUGAGAUGUGGAAAUUCAAGCUAAGGCCUGAAGGACGAGAGUGAGCCAUGUGAAAAGCAGUGUUAAGAGGAGAAAAGAUGUGUAAAGGCCCUGGGGUGGAAAAAGCUUGAGGUGCACUAGCCUAUGUGGUGAGCAAGGGCUGAAGUGACUGGAGAUGAAGCUGGAGACAGAAGCAAAGGCCAGGUCUUACAGGGCUGUCUAGAUGUGUAAAGGGUUUUUUCUGGGCAAUGGGAUACUACCUAAAGAUUUUAACAAAAAAAAAAAAAGGUCAUUUGGAAAAGAUCACUUUGGCUUUAAGGUGAGUAACGGAUUCAGACAGGAGAGGCAGUGUGUUAGCUUGCUGGCACUGCUAUCAGAGCAGCCUGGCCACAGACUGGGUGGCUUAUAAAAAAAAAAAAA